rnacentral:rRNA from 1 species
UAGCGUGCUCGUUUGACGUUAGCUGCAGAAGAAGCACCGGCUAACUCCGUGCCAGCAGCCGCGGUAAUACGGAGGGUGCGAGCGUUAAUCGGAAUUACUGGGCGUAAAGCGCAUGCAGGUGGUUUGUUAAGUCAGAUGUGAAAGCCCCGGGGCUCAACCUCGGAAUUGCAUUUGAAACUGGCAGACUAGAGUACUGUAGAGGGGGGUAGAAUUUCAGGUGUAGCGGUGAAAUGCGUAGAGAUCUGAAGGAAUACCGGUGGCGAAGGCGGCCCCCUGGACAGAUACUGACACUCAGAUGCGAAAGCGUGGGGAGCAAACAGGAUUAGAUACCCUGGUAG